rnacentral:lncRNA from 1 species
CACACCCUUAGUAAGUCUUAACGAUGGAACCAACAAGACGGCACACAAACAAAAGAACUAAAGCAUGAUGCAAGAUAAGGCUAAAAGCUGCACAAAGAUCCCGGAAUCAACUGCAGCAUUGCUCCUGGUCUUCUAAAUUUGGAUUCUCCCUACCAUCUACAAGCAAAACACAGAAUUAGGUUCAAGAAAAGAGACAUUUUUGCAGUAGUGAUUAAUGAAGUGGAACAACUAAUUCAAAAUAAAAAGCUUUAUGAAGCUCAGCAUGAAAAAAUAUGUUCACAUUCCAAAAACAAUGCAGAGUGAUUGUUCAUAGAUCAGGAAGCUAAAUGGCGGAAUUACAUAAUUGGUUCAGAUACAAGGGUUAAUAUUAUUGGCUUGUUUGACUUAUAUAAAAGUGGGAAAGCCAGAGACACAACUUUCACAUGCAACUCCAAACAAAGUACUUUGGACUAUAGAGGUACUUACAGAGAUGAAGGAUUUUGAUCUAAAUAUUUCACUGGACCUUAAAGGACCUGCUGUUUUUUCUUCGGAACUCCUUCA